UUCAGGUCGCCGCCAUCAUCAACGUUCCCUCAGCCUCGCAACCUAAGGUUCUAGCCAUUCCAACCUAACUCAGAUCUAAGACUACCCAUAGAUCCAAACCAAAUCAGAUCACCCAUCAUCCCUCCUCCGCUUCUGACUUCACACGAUCCUAAAACCGCUCCCAGACCAGUGACUUCCGGCCAGCCCCGAGACAACAUCCUCACUCAUCAACCCCACCAAAGAGUACCAGACCACCGCUCGUCAUCCGCCUUAAUCUUCUCGACCACUUCUUUUGAAUCCCAGUGAUCUAGAUCGAAGCCGCCCUGAUUGAGAGCACUUCAACCGCACCCACAACACUCUGAUGAGGUCGAUGAUGACGCCGAUGCAGAGGGCCACUGGACGAGUGCAAAAGCAGCUAGGUUUUUACUUCCUGUUUUCGCUCUCUCUCUACGCCCAACGGAGCCCGUGUGUAGCUACGCCUUUGUCUCUGAGUUCCACAUGAGCGGUAUCAGGGAGUUAGAAAACUGCUGCAAGGCUUGCAAUAGCAUCAACCAUGGAGAUUUGAUAGAUUUGUCGAAGAAGAGUCAACGAGAAACCCUAGCACAGAAGAUGGUUAGGUUAGUUAGAAUCUAAAAAUAGAUGAAAUACUUCUUAUUUGAACUUUUCUCAAAUUUUAUCCAUUUCCAGAGAGUUUGUUAAAUGAUGAAGCAUUCAAAUAUUUCACUUA